rnacentral:rRNA from 1 species
GAUGGACGCUGGCGGCGUGCCUAAUACAUGCCAGUCGAGCGAACAGACGAGGAGCUUGCUCCUCUGACGUUAGCGGCGGACGGGUGAGUAACACGUGGAUAACCUACCUAUAAGACUGGGAUAACCUCGGGAAACCGGAGCUAAUACCGGAUAAUAUAUUGAACCGCAUGGUUCAAUAGUGAAAGACGGUUUUGCUGUCACUUAUAGAUGGAUCCGCGCCGCAUUAGCUAGUUGGUAAGGUAACGGCUUACCAAGGCAACGAUGCGUAGCCGACCUGAGAGGGUGAUCGGCCACACUGGAACUGAGACACGGUCCAGACUCCUACGGGAGGCAGCAGUAGGGAAUCUUCCGCAAUGGGCGAAAGCCUGACGGAGCAACGCCGCGUGAGUGAUGAAGGUCUUCGGAUCGUAAAACUCUGUUAUUAGGGAAGAACAAAUGUGUAAGUAACUAUGCACGUCUUGACGGUACCUAAUCAGAAAGCCACGGCUAACUACGUG